rnacentral:lncRNA from 1 species
AUACUAGGGAAGGCAUCGAGCUUGAGGAAGAGGCCCCAUUCAUCUCCGUACCCCAGGCCCUGGUACACAGCAGCUCCAGGCGGGCACGCAUCUUUGUUGUGUUCUCUGCUGACUAUAUCCUCAGCACCUAGAACUGUGUCUGUCACCUAAUAGAUGCUCACAAGAAUGCGGUGUGUCAGGAGAAGCAAAUCCCAAAUGAGAUAAACCUGCCAGUAAUUUCAGCAAAUGAAACGUGGAACACGUCAAGGCCAGAGGAUGGAAAAGGCUCCAGUUUUGAUAAAAGGAGGCCUGCUUGGCUUGGAAUCCUCUCUCCUGCUGGUUGGGAGAUGCAAAGAUGUUUCCAGAGAGGGGCUGAUGAAUUGAGGGGAAAGAAAUGAGCCCAGUAUGAGUCCCCUUUCAGGGCUGAGCGUGUAUAAAACCAAACAACUUGGAACCGCUCCAAGAGAGGGGAUUAAAGCAACAUGUUAUUCUGA